UCUGCGUCCUCCAUCCCCUCUGGCUCUUACACCUUUUCUGCCUCCUCUUCUCUGCUUCAGGAGGAAGCUUCUCAGAGAUGACUGGAUAAGGUGCUGAUCUAGAAUCUGAAGAACUCCAGCAAUGUCCGAGAGCAGCAGAACCAGAAAGGAGCCCACACAUCUCACUCAAUUUGGGUCUCCUUAGUGGCACCUUGAUGCCCUUCGGGGUGUCGGUGUGGCAGUCGUACCUCAAACACCUCUAAAGUUGCCAGCACGAAAUCAGCAUGGAGAAGGCAGAGAAGAGAAGAAGUGCUUAUGAGUGCCGCCAUGCCCUGUCCAUCCCGGAGAACAUGCCAGAAUCAGGCAGAGGAGGUCCCUCCCACUCUUGGGGGGAAACAUUCUUGGCAUUUAAAACCAAUAAUGAAUGUGCAUGGAAACAAGAAAAGAGUGAUGUGUGCCAGGAACAUGAAGAGCAAAAAUGAUAGUGUCCAGGGGACUGAAGACAAGAACAGUCUCCGCUAAGUGGUCCAGACCAGCAGCCCCAGAAGGAACAGGAGCCAGAUGAGUAUCUGCUGGAGGGAGGUACAUGGCAGGGACUGGAUCAGGGGUAGCUCUCCUAAGCUGGGACAUCGUUUGGGGCUUAUGGUAAGGACGGGGCAAGCCAGAGGGAGGGAGAGAGUCUAUAGUAGGGACAUGCCCCCAUAUUCCAUUCCCAAAUGCUUCCUGGGAUUCCAAGCUAAGGAAAUAUUUUGUCUGUGCUUGCUCUUAGGACCCAAAGAGACUGUGAAUGGGACACAACAUUGUCAGCCAGCCCCAGUUCUGUGUGCCCAUCAGUGUAUAGUGAGGCCACUCAGCUGCCAGCAGCUUCACAGAGCCCUGAGCCCUGGGAACACCACAGUGCCCGCAUGGGGACAUCCUGUGCAUAAUAAACAGCCCCAUGCGGAGAAGCUGAA